UCUUCUCACCGGCGAGACAAAUCGCCGCCUAUCUCUCGUCUCUCCAAUCAACAUCAACAACCGACGAAGAGAGCAACAUCUCCGGCCAACUGACCCCGGUGUCGAUCCACUGCCCUUCUCCUUUAAUUGAAGGCAACUGAGGAAGCUCAACAUCUAAAAAAGUUGAUACAAGACUAUAUUGCUUCUUUCAUCAAAGUAGGAGAUAAGGUUGGUGCUUCUAAAUUUCUAAAGUUCAAGUACAAUUUAGUUGAACAACAAAGCAUGAGUGAGACCAUUCAGCAAAUCAAAGAACAAGUGAUGAACCUCGCUCGUCGAACUACUACUUCGGCUCCCGAUGACACCGACGACGAGAGUGAUGAGGAUGA